rnacentral:rRNA from 1 species
UACGGAGGGUGCAAGCGUUAUCCGGAUUCACUGGGUUUAAAGGGAGCGUAGGUGGCUUUGUAAGUCAGUGGUGAAAUAUUGCGGCUCAACCGCAAAACUGCCAUUGAUACUGCUUAGCUUGAAUCACGUCGAGGUGGAUGGAAUAAUACAUGUAGCGGUGAAAAUGCUUAGAUAUGUAUUAGAACACCGAUUGCGAAGGCAGUUCACUAGGCGUGUAUUGACACUGAGGCUCGAAAGCGUGGGGAUCAACAGG